CUCAGUAACACGUGGACAACCUGCCCUGAGGACUGGAAUAAUCCCGGGAAACUGGGGGUAAUUCCAGAUAUGUCAGAACUCCUGGAAUGGGUUCUGGCAGAAAGGCUCCGGCGCCUCAGGAUGGGUCUGCGGCCUAUCAGGGUAGUAGUGGGUGUAACGUACCUACUAGCCUACGACGGGUACGGGUUGUGAGAGCAAGAGCCCGGAGAUGGAUUCUGAGACAUGAAUCCAGGCCCUACGGGGUGCAGCAGGCGCGAAAACUUUACAAUGCGGGCAACCGCGAUAAGGGGACCUCGAGUGCUGGGUUACAAACCUGGCUGUUGGGCUGCCUAAAAAGCAGUCUAUAGCAAGGGCCGGGCAAGACCGGUGCCAGCCGCCGCGGUGACACCGGCGGCUCGAGUGGUAACCGCUAUUAUUGGGUCUAAAGGGUCUGUAGCCGGCCGACUAAGUCUCUUGGGAAAUCUGGCAUCUCAAGUGUCAGGCUGCCAGGGGAUACUGGUCGGCUUGGGACCGGGAGAGGUGAGAGGUACCUCGGGGGUAGGGGUGAAAUCUUGUAAUCCUCGAGGGACCACCAGUGGCGAAGGCGUCUCAUCAGAACGGAUCCGACGGCAAGGGACGAAAGCUAGGGGCACGAACCGGAUUAGAUACCCGGGUAGUCCUAGCCGUAAACGAUACUCGCUAGGUGUCGGCCACGGUGCGACCGUGGUCGGUGCCGUAGGGAAGCCGUGAAGCGAGCCACCUGGGAAGUACGGCCGCAAGGCUGAAACUUAAAGGAAUUGGCGGGGGAGCA
rnacentral:rRNA from 1 species